AGAGUUUGAUCCAGGCUCAGGACGAACGCUGGCGGCGUGCUUAACACAUGCAAGUCGAACGGAAAGGCCCUGCUUGCGGGGUACUCGAGUGGCGAACGGGUGAGUAACACGUGGGUGAUCUGCCCUGCACUUCGGGAUAAGCUUGGGAAACUGGGUCUAAUACCGGAUAGGACCGCACUUUAGUGUGUGUGGUGGAAAGUUUUUUCGGUGUAGGAUGAGCUCGCGGCCUAUCAGCUUGUUGGUGGGGUAAUGGCCUACCAAGGCGGCGACGGGUAGCCGGCCUGAGAGGGUGUACGGCCACAUUGGGACUGAGAUACGGCCCAGACUCCUACGGGAGGCAGCAGUGGGGAAUAUUGCACAAUGGGCGCAAGCCUGAUGCAGCGACGCCGCGUGGGGGAUGAAGGCCUUCGGGUUGUAAACUCCUUUCGCUAGGGACGAAGCUUUUGUGACGGUACCUAGAUAAGAAGCACCGGCUAACUACGUGCCAGCAGCCGCGGUAAUACGUAGGGUGCGAGCGUUGUCCGGAAUUACUGGGCGUAAAGGGCUCGUAGGUGGUUUGUCGCGUCGUCUGUGAAAUUCUGGGGCUUAACUCCGGGCGUGCAGGCGAUACGGGCAUAACUUGAGUGCUGUAGGGGUAACUGGAAUUCCUGGUGUAGCGGUGAAAUGCGCAGAUAUCAGGAGGAACACCGAUGGCGAAGGCAGGUUACUGGGCAGUUACUGACGCUGAGGAGCGAAAGCAUGGGUAGCGAACAGGAUUAGAUACCCUAGUAGUCC
rnacentral:rRNA from 1 species